GAUGAACGCUGGCGGCGUGCCUAAUACAUGCAAGUCGAGCGAACAGACGAGGAGCUUGCUCCUCUGACGUUAGCGGCGGACGGGUGAGUAACACGUGGAUAACCUACCUAUAAGACUGGGAUAACUUCGGGAAGCCGGAGCUAAUACCGGAUAAUAUAUUGAACCGCAUGGUUCAAUAGUGAAAGACGGUUUUGCUGUCACUUAUAGAUGGAUCCGCGCCGCAUUAGCUAGUUGGUAAGGUAACGGCUUACCAAGGCAACGAUGCGUAGCCGACCUGAGAGGGUGAUCGGCCACACUGGAACUGAGACACGGUCCAGACUCCUACGGGAGGCAGCAGUAGGGAAUCUGCCGCAAUGGGCGAAAGCCUGACGGAGCAACGCCGCGUGAGUGAUGAAGGUCUUCGGAUCGUAAAACUCUGUUAUUAGGGAAGAACAAAUGUGUAAGUAACUAUGCACGUCUUGACGGUACCUAAUCAGAAAGCCACGGCUAACUACGUG
rnacentral:rRNA from 1 species